UGGGGAAUUUUGGACAAUGGGGGCAACCCUGAUCCAGCAAUGCCGCGUGUGUGAAGAAGGCCUUCGGGUUGUAAAGCACUUUUGUUCGGAAAGAAAUCGCUCCGGCUAAUACCUGGAGUGGAUGACGGUACCGGAAGAAUAAGCACCGGCUAACUACGUGCCAGCAGCCGCGGUAAU
rnacentral:rRNA from 1 species